GGGUGCUUAGCUCAGUUGGUAGAGCGGCGCCCUUACAAGGCGUAGGUCGGGAGUUCGAGCCUCUCAGCACCCA
rfam:Janthinobacterium agaricidamnosum NBRC 102515 = DSM 9628, complete genome